AUUGAACGCUGGCGGCAGGCCUAACACAUGCAAGUCGAGCGGAUGAAGGGAGCUUGCUCCUGGAUUCAGCGGCGGACGGGUGAGUAAUGCCUAGGAAUCUGCCUGGUAGUGGGGGAUAACGUCCGGAAACGGGCGCUAAUACCGCAUACGUCCUGAGGGAGAAAGUGGGGGAUCUUCGGACCUCACGCUAUCAGAUGAGCCUAGGUCGGAUUAGCUAGUUGGUGGGGUAAAGGCCUACCGAGGCGACGAUCCGUAACUGGUCUGAGAGGAUGAUCAGUCACACUGGAACUGAGACACGGUCCAGACUCCUACGGGAGGCAGCAGUGGGGAAUAUUGGACAAUGGGCGAAAGCCUGAUCCAGCCAUGCCGCGUGUGUGAAGAAGGUCUUCGGAUUGUAAAGCACUUUAAGUUGGGAGGAAGGGCAGUAAGUUAAUACCUUGCUGUUUUGACGUUACCAACAAAAUAAGCACCGGCUAACUUCGUG
rnacentral:rRNA from 1 species